CAUUCCUCUUCCCCAAGUUGGUUUUGAAAACCAUUUGAGGAAUCAAAGCAGAGAGGAGAGGAAGAAGGAGAAGCAUCUCACUGAGUUGGGUUCUGCGUAAAUCUCUCUCUUUGGUCUUGAGGUGAAUUGGUUUAGCACAGACAGACAGAAGCAAAAUAUAGCCAUCAUUGUCAGUCUCAUUCCUAUGCAAAACCAAAACACUUUAUUGCUGCGUACUCUAAACCACCACAGACGUCUCCUGCACUGCACACAAUCCCAAUCCCAACUCUUUCAUAGACCAAUUAGACCAAGCACAUGCAUAUCGCUGAUAAAGCAAUGCAACACCCUUCAGUCCCUCAAAGCUGUCCAUGCCUCUAUCCUCAGAACCUACCUUCACUUCAAUAUCUUCUUUUGCACCAACCUCAUUGCCCACUAUGCCUCUUUGGGCUCAACCUCUCACGCCUAUACCCUCUUCUCUGCCUUCUCUUCCUCUGACGUUUUUCUUUGGAAUGUAAUCAUCAAAGGCUUUGUUGACAAUGGCCUGUACAACAGAGCCAUUGCUUUGUAUAGUCAAAUGUGGGAAUUGGGUGUUCACCCUGAUCACUUUACAUUCCCUUUUGUUCUUAAGGCUUGUGGUUAUGUUUGUGACCAUAAGGUUGGUGUAAAGGUUCAUGGAGAUGUGAUUCAAUGUGGUUAUGCUGCAGAUUUGUUUGUAGGCAAUUCACUCAUUGCACUUUAUGGUAAACUGGGGCAGAUCGAGGCUGCAAGAAAGGUGUUUGAUAAAAUUCCUGACCGUACUGUGGUUUCCUGGAGUUCAAUGAUUGGCGCGUAUGCGCAAAAUGGGUAUUUUGAGGAAGGAUUAUUUUUGUUUGUGAUGAUGUUGAAUGACAGAUUGAGACCCAACAGGGCUGCAAUUUUGAAUGUGAUGGCUUGUGUUUUAAGAAGCAAGGAGGCUGAUGAGGUUUGUGCAGUCUUGAUAGAUAAUGGACUUCAGUUUGAUAGAUCUGUUCAAAAUGCUGCAAUGCAGAUGUAUGCACGCUGCGGAAGAAUUGAUGUUGCUCGAGGUUUCUUUAAUGGAAUCAUUGAUAAAGACUUGGUGAGUUGGGCAUCCAUGAUUGAAGCAUAUGCGCAAGUUAAUUUGCCUCUUGAAGCCUUGGAGCUCUUUAAAAGUAUGAUGGUGCAAAGGAUUCGCCCUGAUUUGGUGGCACUUUUGAGUGUGAUUCGCACUUGUUCAAAUCUAGCAUCAUAUAAGAAAGCACGCUGGAUUCACGGAGUUGUUAUUCGUUCCUUUUUUGGGCACCAUGUCACGCUUGAAACUUCUCUAGUUGAUCUAUAUGUAAAAUGUGGAAGUUUGGUAUAUGCUAGAAAAGUUUUUGAUAAGAUGCAAGAAAGAAAUAUAAUAUCAUGGAGCACCAUGAUUUCAGGAUAUGGGAUGCAUGGUCAUGGAAGAGAAGCAGUCAACCUCUUUCAUCAGAUGAAGGCUCCAACAAAACCAGACCACGUUGCAUUUCUAUCAGUGUUGUCGGCAUGCAGUCAUGGUGGUUUGAUUGCCGAAGGAUGGGACUGCUUCAAUUCUAUGGGUCGGGAUUUUCACAUCAUACCAAGACCCGAACAUUAUGCAUGUAUGGUUGAUCUGUUGGGUCGAUCUGGUCGACUGAAUGAAGCCUUUGAGUUUAUUGAGAGAAUGCCGGUAAGGCCAGAUGCUGGUGUUUGGGGAGCACUUCUCGGGGCAUGUAGAAUUCAUUCAAACAUAGAACUGGCAAAAACUGCUGCAAAGAAUUUAUUUGAAUUGGAUGCGGAGAACCCAGGUCGAUAUGUCCUCAUGUCCAAUAUUUAUGCAUCUUCUGGUAAACAGAAGGAUGCUGAUAAAAUUAGAGAUUUAAUGAAACAAAGAGGAGUGAGGAAGGUUGCUGGUCAUACUAGUAUAGAGAUUAGAAACAAGGUCUACACAUUUGUGGCUGGAGACAAGUCACAUGCUCAAUCUGAUUUAAUCUAUUCAGAGUUGGAGAAAGUUAUAAACAGGAUUCGGCAAGAAGGUUACAAGCCGGAUUUGAACUUUGUAUUGCACGAUGUGGAGGAAGAGAUGAAGGAAACAAUGUUGUAUGUGCAUAGUGAGAAGCUUGCAAUAGUUUUUGGACUUUUAAAUUCAGGACCAGGAAGUGUUAUUAGAAUUAAUAAGAAUCUUAGAGUCUGUGGGGAUUGUCAUACAGCUUCCAAGUUUAUCUCUAAGGUUAUGGGAAGGGAAAUUGUAAUGAGAGAUGCUCAUAGAUUCCACCAUUUCAAUAAUGGUGCAUGCUCUUGUGGGGAUUAUUGGUGACAUUGUCAUAGAAGGUCAAUAUCUGGUCCACAAACUCUCAAUAAUAUUACAAUAUUGCUGGUCACAGCAUCUGGUACCCUCAUUACCAUCUGUUUUGUCAUCGUUAAAUCUUGAUUUAUUUUCUCUUUCAACCCGGAGAACAUAAAGCGCUGGUGAUGAGUGUGCAACGCUAAUCCUAUAAUCACGACCAAGUAAAUCAUCGACCUGUUCAUGAAUUAUCAGGAAGAGUUCGUGACACUGUUUCACACCAUCUAGUUCAUCAACUGGUGAUUCUUCCAGAAAACUGGAUUUUCAUGUGUAAAGACAAAUGAGCUUUGUAAUCCAGUCUGUGGGACUUGUCCAGUUGCCAAGUGCUUCCACGUAAUGACAAUUAUGUUAUUGCUGUGCUGUAUCAGGAAUGAUUUUGAUCUGUCAUCGAAAAAAACGAAUGAUUUUGAUCCUGGUAGUGCCUUAAACUUCUAUGUGGAAAAAUAUGUGGAAUUUGGAGGUGAUACAUUCUUGAAAAUGACCGUUUAAAUUCAUUGUCAUUUUCAAAUUUCCAAAAGAAUAAACUGCAAGAAAAGAACAAGAGCACGCUUACAGCCAUUGCCACUACCAACUACAAUGCCUUUUCCGACCUGCAAGCUGUGAAAAGAACUGUUCUGGCAGUGUAACCUGUGAAAAGAACUGUUCUGGCUAGUUUUACAAUACCUGUUUAUCACAAAUUAUUUAUGGCCAAUCGACUAGCGCAAUUUACAUCUCGGAUUCAGAAAUGUGUGGAGUCUUUCAACAUUGUAUACAUAAUCAAAUAUUUACG